rnacentral:rRNA from 1 species
GACGUAGGAGGCGAGCGUUGUCCGGAUUCAUUGGGCGUAAAGAGCGCGUAGGCGGCCCGUUAAGUCGGAUGUGAAAACCCGUGGCUCAACCACGGGCCUGCAUCCGAUACUGGCGGGCUCGAGGCAGGCAGGGGAGAUCGGAAUUCCUGGUGUAGCGGUGAAAUGCGCAGAUAUCAGGAGGAACACCGGUGGCGAAGGCGGAUCUCUGGGCCUGUCCUGACGCUCAGGCGCGAAAGCGUGGGGAGCGAACAGG